rnacentral:rRNA from 1 species
CCUACGGGGGGCAGCAGUAGGGAAUCUUCCAGAAUGGGCGAAAGCCUGAUGGAGCAACGCCGCGUGGGUGAAGAAGGUCUUUGGAUCGUAAAACCCUGUUGUUAGAGAAGAAAGUGCGUGAGAGUAACUGUUCACGUUUCGACGGUAUCUAACCAGAAAGCCACGGCUAACUACGUGCCAGCAGCCGCGGUAAUACGUAGGUGGCAAGCGUUAUCCGGAUUUAUUGGGCGUAAAGGGAACGCAGUCGGUCUUUUAAGUCUGAUGUGAAAGCCUUCGGCUUAACCGGAGUAGUGCAUUGGAUACUGGGAGACUUGAGUACAGAAGAGGAGAGUGGAACUCCAUGUGUAGCGGUGAAAUGCGUAGAUAUAUCGAAGAACACCAGUGGCGAAAGCGGCUUUCUGGUCUGUAACUGACGCUGAGGUUCGAAAGCGUGGGUAGCAAACAGGAUUAGAUACCCUAGUAGUC